CUCCAACGAGCGCAACCCUGAUCCAGCCAUGCCGCGUGUGUGAAGAAGGCCUUCGGGUUGUAAAGCACUUUCAGCGAGGAAGAACGCCAGGGAAUUAAUACCUCCCUGGAAAGACAUCACUCGCAGAAGAAGCACCGGCUAACUCCGUGCCAGCAGCCGCGGUAAUACGGAGGGUGCAAGCGUUAAUCGGAAUUACUGGGCGUAAAGCGCGCGUAGGUGGCUUGAUAAGCCGGUUGUGAAAGCCCCGGGCUCAACCUGGGAACGGCAUCCGGAACUGUCAAGCUAGAGUGCAGGAGAGGAAGGUAGAAUUCCCGGUGUAGCGGUGAAAUGCGUAGAGAUCGGGAGGAAUACCAGUGGCGAAGGCGGCCUUCUGGACUGACACUGA
rnacentral:rRNA from 1 species